rnacentral:rRNA from 1 species
GAGAAUUUAGCAGAGAUGCUUUAGUGCCUUCGGGAACUCUGAGACAGGUGCUGCAUGGCUGUCGUCAGCUCGUGUUGUGAAAUGUUGGGUUAAGUCCCGNAACGAGCGCAACCCUUAUCCUUUGUUGCCAGCACGUAAUGGUGGGAACUCAAAGGAGACUGCCGGUGAUAAACCGGAGGAAGGUGGGGAUGACGUCAAGUCAUCAUGGCCCUUACGAGUAGGGCUACACACGUGCUACAAUGGCGCAUACAAAGAGAAGCGACCUCGCGAGAGCAAGCGGACCUCAUAAAGUGCGUCGUAGUCCGGAUUGGAGUCUGCAACUCGACUCCAUGAAGUCGGAAUCGCUAGUAAUCGUAAAUCAGAAUGUUACGGUGAAUACGUUCCCGGGCCUUGUACACACCGCCCGUCACACCAUGGGAGUGGGUUGCAAAAGAAGUAGAUAGCUUAACCUUCGGGAGGGCGUUUACCACUUUGUGAUUCAUGACUGGGGUGAAGUCGUAACAAGGUAAGCGUAGUGCU